rnacentral:rRNA from 1 species
UACGUAGGGUGCAAGCGUUGUUCGGAUUUACUGGGCGUAAAGGGCGCGUAGGCGGCUUGACAAGUCACUUGUGAAAUCUCCGGGCUUAACUCGGAACGGCCAAGUGAAACUGUCAUGCUAGAGUGCAGAAGGGGCAAUCGGAAUUCUUGGUGUAGCGGUGAAAUGCGUAGAUAUCAAGAGGAACACCUGAGGUGAAGACGGGUUGCUGGGCUGACACUGACGCUGAGGCGCGAAAGCCAGGGGAGCAAACGGG